AUACGCGUGAGGAUUAUAAACCGCUCCACUGGCUUUCACGCUUCCUUAACUGAAAGUACCACCUGGUGGAAUGAACUACUGGUGGAAGAAGUAGGUUGCACAUCUCUGGAAGCCCAGGAGCUGCAAACCCCCCGGAGGCCAGAGCUGCUGUGGGUUUUCACGAUGAAUUACGGAGUGGGUGCGAAGACGCUGGUGUUGCACCCCUGAAGGAUGUAGCUAGAUGUUGAGCCUUGGCCUCGCAGACCUGAACUGCAAGCAGCUCUCGAGACAUGCACGAGUGAGAUCCCCAGGAAGAGCAGCCCAAGCAGCACCUCCUGCUUGAUGUACUCGUUCUGGCCGGAGCUGCCAGCAAAGGAGAGGCUGAACAGAAGUUCUGUGGUCUCUGCAGCUCCGAGUCCCCCCUCCCCUCCAUGCCACCGGCACGCGGGCUGAGUGGUACCGCAGCAAGCCUUCCCUGCGCACCGUGAUGCCUUCGGGGCUACGGAGGAAACCAGGCUGUAGCAGAGGACGCUACCCAGAUUUAUGGCUUCUGCAGGAUUGCCAAAUAUGUUGGGAAGAUUUCCCUGCCAGAUUGCAACUUCUGUUCUUCCCCAUAAAUUAACUUGCCUUCAAGAGAGAUGUCUGCAAACAAAAUUGUUUCUAAUGAGCUUAUUCCCAAACAUGUUUUGGAAGAGCACCCUUUCCCUUCAGCAGCACCUCCUACUCCAUAUGAGCGAUGUUUUUAUGCAGUUCAGUUUGCGGUGGGGGGGCUUAAGGGGCACGAAAUAAUUAAGGAGAACUUUUACUUGGGCAAUCUGUGCCUGAGCGGUGCGUUGCGGUAAAGUGGAGACAGCGGACGCAGAGGCAAGGACCUUACGCUGCCUGAGUCCCCUCCAGCCCUAAGGACAGCUUUACAGGAGCAAAAUGGCUCUUUACACAGUGAUUAUAAAGGGUACCAAAACCCAAGUCCAACACAAAACUCCUGCGAUAGCUGGAAGGGUACGUCCUGGGGCAAGUACUAAUCCCGCGGGGUAGGUAUUGAUUUUUAUUUGGGGGUAUAUCGUGAUGCACAGAGGCAGGCUGAUUCUGCACGUGAAUAAUUAUUUCAGUUGCGCCUGAACGCAAAGGUUUCGGUCGGGAAACGAACACCCCAAGCCCCCCAGCCCGGUGCCGGGAGGGGGAGGCAUGGAGGCUGCCCGGCACUACCCCCCCAGGGGACCACAGUGGGUCCCUUCUCCUCUCUCACUCCCAGCACUUCCAAUUUCCACCAAACGGGAGCUUUUUUAUGAACAGAAAAGUUUCUGAGCGUGUGUACCACGUUAUUUUCCACUCAGAUUUUCUGAAA